rnacentral:piRNA from 1 species
UGAUGUUCCACUUGUUUCUUCUGUUGCUCC